CAGCCCUGCACACCCAGGUGUUCCAUUCACUGAUCAACACUGAACACAGACUCACCAUGAAGUUUGGGCUGAGCUGGCUUUUCCUCGUUGCUCUUUUAAAAGGUGUCCAGUGUGAGGAGAAGCUGGUAGAGUCUGGGGGAGGCUUGGUGAAGCCUGGGGGAUCCCUGACCCUCUCCUGUGCAGCCUCUGGAUUUACCUUCAGCAGCUAUGCCAUGCACUGGGUCCGCCAGGCUCCAGGGAAGGGGCUGGAGUGGGUUGCAGCAAUAAUUUAUGAUGGAAGUGGUAAAUACUACCCAGACUCUGUGAAAGGCCGAUUCACCAUCUCCAGAGACAAUUCCAAGAACACCGUGUCCCUGCAAAUGAGCAGUUUGAGGUCUGAGGACACGGCCACGUAUUACUGUGCAAGAGACACAGUGAGGGGACUUCAGUGUGAGCCCAGACACAAACCUCCCUGCAGGGCACUCGGGACCAGCAGGGGGCGCUGA